GAGGAAAGCUGGAGGCGUGCCUAAUACAUGCAAGUCGAGCGAACGGACGAGAAGCUUGCUUCUCUGAUGUUAGCGGCGGACGGGUGAGUAACACGUGGAUAACCUACCUAUAAGACUGGGAUAACUUCGGGAAACCGUAGCUAAUACCGGAUAAUAUUUUGAACCGCAUGGUUCAAAAGUGAAAGACGGUCUUGCUGUCACUUAUAGAUGGAUCCGCGCUGCAUUAGCUAGUUGGUAAGGUAACGGCUUACCAAGGCAACGAUGCAUAGCCGACCUGAGAGGGUGAUCGGCCACACUGGAACUGAGACACGGUCCAGACUCCUACGGGAGGCAGCAGUAGGGAAUCUUCCGCAAUGGGCGAAAGCCUGACGGAGCAACGCCGCGUGAGUGAUGAAGGUCUUCGGAUCGUAAAACUCUGUUAUUAGGGAAGAACAUAUGUGUAAGUAACUGUGCACAUCUUGACGGUACCUAAUCAGAAAGUCACGGCUAACUACGUG
rnacentral:rRNA from 1 species